AUGAAGUUGGAAUCGCUAGUAAUCGCGGAUCAGCAUGCCGCGGUGAAUACGUUCCCGGGCCUUGUACACACCGCCCGUCACACCAUGAGAGUCGGGAACACCCGAAGUCCGUAGCCUAACCGCAAGGGGGCGCGGCCGAAGGUGGGUUCGAUAAUUGGGGUGAAGUCGUAACAAGGUAGC
rnacentral:rRNA from 1 species